CAGGCAGCUUUUACACUGAGUUUAUUAUCUUUACUGUGGUACAACAGGGCCACGAAUGAUAGGCAGUAUUUGCUGAUUGCUUACUUUGGGCAACUCUAUACCCUGUGCCAAAACAAGCUCUCCACCCAGGCCUGUCUCCUCGUCCUGUGCCGGGGAGCCCACGCCUGCAGUUCCAGGAGGUCUGUGGCCUGUAGUCCAUGC